rnacentral:tRNA from 1 species
GGGCCUGUAGCUCAGAGGUUAGAGCGUGCGGCUCAUAACCGCUUGGUCUCGGGUUCGAAUCCCGACGGGCCCA